UGGGGAAUUUUGGACAAUGGGCGAAAGCCUGAUCCAGCAAUGCCGCGUGUGUGAAGAAGGCCUUCGGGUUGUAAAGCACUUUUGUCCGGAAAGAAAUCCUUGGCUCUAAUACAGUCGGGGGAUGACGGUACCGGAAGAAUAAGCACCGGCUAACUACGUGCCAGCAGCCGCGGUAAUACGUAGGGUGCAAGCGUUAAUCGGAAUUACUGGGCGUAAAGCGUGCGCAGGCGGUUUGCUAAGACCGAUGUGAAAUCCCCGGGCUCAACCUGGGAACUGCAUUGGUGACUGGCAGGCUAGAGUAUGGCAGAGGGGGGUAGAAUUCCACGUGUAGCAGUGAAAUGCGUAGAGAUGUGGAGGAAUACCGAUGGCGAAGGCAGCCCCCUGGGCCAAUACUGACGCUCAUGCACGAAAGCGUGGGGAGCAAAGCAGGAUUAGAUACCCUGGUAGUCCACGCCCUAAACGAUGUCAACUAGUUGUUGGGGAUUCAUUUCCUUAGUAACGUAGCUAACGCGUGAAGUUGA
rnacentral:rRNA from 1 species